rnacentral:rRNA from 1 species
UACGUAGGUGGCAAGCGUUGUCCGGAUUUACUGGCGUAAAGAGCGCGCAGGCGUCGUUCAAGUCGCGUGGUGAAGCCCCCGGCUCAACUGGGGAGGGUCACGCGAUACUGAUCGACUCGAAGGCAGGAGAGGGAAGUGGAAUUCCCGGUGUAGUGGUGAAAUGACGUAGAUAUCGGGAGGAACACCUGUGGCGGAAAGCGG